UGGGGAAUAUUGGACAAUGGGCGCAAGCCUGAUCCAGCCAUGCCGCGUGUGUGAUGAAGGCCUUAGGGUUGUAAAGCACUUUCGCCGAUGAAGAUAAUGACGGUAGUCGGAGAAGAAGCCCCGGCUAACUUCGUGCCAGCAGCCGCGGUAAUACGAAGGGGGCAAGCGUUGUUCGGAUUUACUGGGCGUAAAGCGUACGUAGGCGGAUCAUUAAGUCAGGGGUGAAAUCCCGAGGCUCAACCUCGGAACUGCCUUUGAUACUGGUGAUCUUGAGUCCGGGAGAGGUGAGUGGAACUCCUAGUGUAGAGGUGAAAUUCGUAGAUAUUAGGAAGAACACCAGUGGCGAAGGCGGCUCACUGGCCCGGAACUGACGCUGAGGUACGAAAGCGUGGGGAGCAAACA
rnacentral:rRNA from 1 species